rnacentral:lncRNA from 1 species
CAUCGCACCAUCAGCUUCAGAGGAUGGCAGCCAUUGAUUUGUCCCGUGGGUUUUUUUCCAGGGAACCAAUCUGCCCUUUUGAAGAAAAGACAAAGGUAGAAAGGAUGGUGGUAGACUACCUGGCAAUUGGUUAUCAGAAUGGGAAAUACAACCUAGAACCAAACGGUCAUCACUUCAGCAGGGUUUUUUGAAGAAUCAAAUAUUCAAUGGGAUACAAAUGACAAGAGGCUACAGUGGAUGGGAACUGUGUGACUGUAAGAAUUGUGGACAGGUCUUCAGUGAACAGUUUUGCCUUAAGACACACAUGAGAGCUCAGAAUGGAGGGAAACCUGUUUCCCAAUAAAUUUUAUUAGCUUUCCUCUUGGAAAAUUAGAACUUUUAACAUAACUGUGUUUCAGUGGUUUAAUAAGUAGAACAAAUUCACAGUCAAAUCCCUCAAAAUAUUUACUUGGAAUUUUGAGGUAGUCUUCUAGAAGUUCUCUGGAGCCACCUUCUUGAACUGUGAAAUUCUGUACCUGCAGAAAAAUCCACUUAGGCGUGGUGUCCACCAAGAUUUCGACUCUGCUCACAACUUGGAAACCAUUCAUCACAUCCAGGGAAAAACAGUCCUGUUCUUGGUUGGGGGAUGUCUGCACAUAAAGGAUAUUGCCAUCCUCCACAUCCGGUUGUGUGAAAGUCAAAGGGACUUUUCAUCUGCACCCAAGCUGCCUUCUUCUGGUAUAAAUUUUUGGAGGUAUCCAUGCAUUGGUGGAGUUCCGACUAUGAACACUGCCUCUGAAGGAAUAUUAUUCUCUGGCUCUGUAAUUGAGGGGCAGCUGCUUCCUGGUAAUGCAAUAAAACCCAAGGGCCCAAAAGAAAGGCUUAGAAUACUCCUCUCCCCUGCCCUCAACUCCCAAGUGCCUUUCCACCAAACUGCUGUGUGGGAAAGUCACCUCUCCAGCCUUGUCACUCCCGUAC